CACGUAGUUAGCCGGUGCUUAUUCUUCAGGUACCGUCAUUAGCAAAGGAUAUUAGCCCUCACCGUUUCUUCCCUGACAAAAGAGCUUUACAACCCGAAGGCCUUCUUCACUCACGCGGCAUUGCUGGAUCAGGGUUGCCCCCAUUGUCCAAAAUUCCCCACUGCUGCCUCCCGUAGGAGUCUGGACCGUGUCUCAGUUCCAGUGUGGCUGGUCGUCCUCUCAGACCAGCUACUGAUCGAUGCCUUGGUAGGCCUUUACCCCACCAACUAGCUAAUCAGAUAUCGGCCGCUCCAUGAGCAUGAGGUCUUGCGAUCCCCCACUUUCAUCCGUAGAUCGUAUGCGGUAUUAGCGCAACUUUCGCUGCGUUAUCCCCCACUCUAGGGUACGUUCCGAUAUAUUACUCACCCGUUCGCCACUCGCCACCAGGAGCAAGCUCCCGUGCUGCCGUUCGACUUGCAUGUGUAAGGCAUGCCGCCAGCGUUCAAU
rnacentral:rRNA from 1 species